GCCCCCGUAGCUCAGUGGACCAGAGCAGCGGACUUCUAAUCCGCCGGUCGCAGGUUCGAAUCCUGCCGGGGGUG
rnacentral:tRNA from 1 species